GGAAUUGCUUUGGAAACUGGUUGGCUUGAGUGCGGAAGAGGUAAGUGGAAUUCCCAGUGUAGCGGUGAAAUGCGUAGAGAUUGGGAGGAACACCAGUGGCGAAGGCGACUUACUGGGCCGUAACUGACGCUGAGGCGCGAAAGCGUGGGGAGCGAACAGGAUUAGAUACCCUGGUAGUCCACGCGGUAAACGAUGAAUGCUAGGUGUAGGGGGUAUCGACCCCUCCUGUGCCGGAGUAAACACAAUAAGCAUUCCGCCUGGGGAGUACGGCCGCAAGGUUGAAACUCAAAGGAAUUGACGGGGGCCCGCACAAGCAGCGGAGCAUGUUGUUUAAUUCGAUGCAACGCGAAGAACCUUACCAGGUCUUGACAUCGACGUAAGCCUGUAGAGAUACGGGGUGCCUUCGGGCAACGGAAGACAGGUGGUGCAUGGUUGUCGUCAGCUCGUGUCGUGAGAUGUUGGGUUAAGUCCCGCAACGAGCGCAACCCUUAUGAUCAGUUACUAACGGGUAAAGCCGAGGACUCUGAUGAGACUGCCGGGGACAACUCGGAGGAAGGUGGGGACGACGUCAAAUCAUCAUGCCCCUUAUGACCUGGGCUACAAACGUGCUACAAUGGCGGCUACAAAGAGGAGCGAGCUCGCAAGGGUAAGCGGAUCUCAAAAAAGUCGUCUCAGUUCGGAUUGUGGGCUGCAACCCGC
rnacentral:rRNA from 1 species